rnacentral:misc_RNA from 1 species
UUUCCGUAGGUGAACCUGCGGAAGGAUCAUUAUUGUAUAACCGAGGUGCAAGGGCUGUCGCUGACUCGAAAGGUCGUGCACGCCCGAGUGCCCUCACACACAUCCAUCUCACCCCUAUGUGCACCACCGCGUGGGUCCCCCUUUGGCUUGUUCGGAGGGGGGCUUACGUUUUCACACAAACUUUGUAUGCAGUGUAGAAUGUAUUUUUUGUUUUUGCGAUCACGCAAUCAAUACAACUUUCAACAACGGAUCUCUUGGCUCUC